rnacentral:rRNA from 1 species
GAACGUACGCUGGCGGCACGCCUAAUACAUGCAAGUCGAACGAAGUAGCAAUACUUAGUGGCAGACGGGUGAGUAACAUGUAGGUAUCUUCCCAUUGGUGAGGAAUAACACGAGGAAACUUGUGCUAAUACCUCAUAAGUCUUUACGGAGAAAGCUUUAUGCGCCGAUGGAUGAGCCUGCACUUGAUUAGUUUGUUGGUAGGGUAAUGGCCUACCAAGACAAUGAUCAAUAGCUGAUUUGAGAGGAUGAUCAGCCACAUUGGGACUGAGACACGGCCCAAACUCCUACGGGAGGCAGCAGUAGGGAAUCUUGCACAAUGGGGGAAACCCUGAUGCAGCGAUGCCGCGUGAGUGAAGAAGGCCUUUGGGUUGUAAAGCUCUUUCGUCGGGGAAGAAAAUGACUGUACCCGAAUAAGAAGGUCCGGCUAACUUCGUGCCAGCAGCCGCGGUAAUACGAAGGGACCUAGCGUAGUUCGGAAUUACUGGGCUUAAAGAGUUCGUAGGUGGUUAAAAAAGUUGGUGGUGAAAUCCCAGAGCUUAACUCUGGAACUGCCAUCAAAACUUUUUAGCUAGAGUAUGAUAGAGGAAAGCAGAAUUUCUAGUGUAGAGGUGAAAUUCGUAGAUAUUAGAAAGAAUACCGAUUGCGAAGGCAGCUUUCUGGAUCAUUACUGACACUGAGGAACGAAAGCAUGGGGUAGCGAAGAGGAUUAGAUACCCUCGUAGUCCAUGCCGUAAACGAUGUGUGUUAGACGUUGGAAAUUUAUUUUCUGUGUCGCAGCGAAAGCAAUAAACACACCGCCUGGGGAGUACGACCGCAAGGUUAAAACUCAAAUGAAUUGACGGGGACCCGCACAAGUAGUAGAGCAUGUGGUUUAAUUCGAAGAUACGCGCAGAACCUUACCAACACUUGACAUGUUCGUCGCGACUUUAAGAGAUUAAAGUUUUCGGUUCGGCCGGACGAAACACAGGUGCUGCAUGGCUGUCGUCAGCUCGUGUCGUGAGAUGUUGGGUUAAGUCCCGCAACGAGCGCAACCCUCACUUUUAGUUGCCAUCAUUUAGUUGGGCACUCUGAAAGAACUGCCAGUGAUAAGCUGGAGGAAGGUGGGGAUGACGUCAAGUCCUCAUGGCCCUUACGUGUUGGGCUACACACGUGCUACAAUGGCAUUUACAAUAGGAAGCAAGACGGCGACGUUAAGCAAAUCCUAAAAAAAUGCCUCAGUUCGGAUUGUACUCUGCAACUCGAGUACAUGAAGCUGGAAUUACUAGUAAUCGCGGAUCAGCGCGCCGCGGUGAAUACGUUCCCGGGUCUUGUACACACCGCCCGUCACACCAUGGGAGUUGGUUCUACCUUAAGGCAAAGUUUAAUACCUUUGACCACGGUAUAGUCAGCGACUGGGGU